GCCCGUUUGGCUCAGCGGUAGAGCGCCUCACUAGUAAAGGAACAGAGAUGUUCCCUCCUUGCUAUGAGGAAGUGACUGGUUCGACUCCAGUAAUGGGCA
rnacentral:tRNA from 1 species